GACAGAGGGUGCAAACGUUGUUCGGAAUUACUGGGCGUAAAGCGUGUGUAGGCGGUUCUCUAAGUCGGAUGUGAAAUCCCUGGGCUCAACCCAGGAAGUGCACUCGAAACUGGAGGGCUAGAGUAUCGGAGAGGUUGGUGGAAUUCUCGGUGUAGAGGUGAAAUUCGUAGAUAUCGAGAGGAACACCGGUGGCGAAGGCGGCCUUCUGGACAGUGACUGACGCUGAGACGCGAAAGCGUGGGGAGCAAACAGG
rnacentral:rRNA from 1 species